rnacentral:rRNA from 1 species
AUUGAACGCUGGCGGCAUGCUUUACACAUGCAAGUCGAACGGUAACAGGCCGCAAGGUGCUGACGAGUGGCGAACGGGUGAGUAAUGCAUCGGAACGUGCCCAGUCGUGGGGGAUAACUACUCGAAAGAGUAGCUAAUACCGCAUACGAUCUAUGGAGGAAAGCGGGGGACCGUAAGGCCUCGCGCGAUUGGAGCGGCCGAUGUCAGAUUAGGUAGUUGGUGGGGUAAAGGCUCACCAAGCCAACGAUCUGUAGCUGGUCUGAGAGGACGACCAGCCACACUGGGACUGAGACACGGCCCAGACUCCUACGGGAGGCAGCAGUGGGGAAUUUUGGACAAUGGGCGCAAGCCUGAUCCAGCAAUGCCGCGUGCAGGAAGAAGGCCUUCGGGUUGUAAACUGCUUUUGUACGGAACGAAACGGCUCUGGUUAAUACCCGGGGCUAAUGACGGUACCGUAAGAAUAAGCACCGGCUAACUACGUG